UACGGAGGGUGCUAGCGUUGUUCGGAAUUACUGGGCGUAAAGCGCGUGUAGGCGGCCCGGUAAGUCUGGUGUGAAAACUCGAGGCUUAACCUCGAGAUGUCAUCGGAAACCAUCUGGCUAGAGUCCGGAAGAGGAGAGUGGAAUUCCUGGUGUAGCGGUGAAAUGCGCAGAUAUCAGGAAGAACACCAAUGGCGAAAGCAGCUCUCUGGGACGGUACUGACGCUGAGACGCGAAAGCGUGGGGAGCAAACAGG
rnacentral:rRNA from 1 species